AGAUUGAACGCUGGCGGCAUGCCUAACACAUGCAAGUCGAACGGGAGUAGCAAUACUCUAGUGGGCGGACGGGUGAGGAAUACGUAGGAAUUUGCCCUUAAGUGGGGGAUAACCCGGGGAAACCCGGAUUAAUACCGCAUGACCUCGAAAGAGCAAAGGUGGGGGAUCGCAAGACCUCACGCUUUUGGAGAAGCCUACGUCGGAUUAGCUAGUUGGUGAGGUAAUGGCUCACCAAGGCGACGAUCCGUAACUGGUCUGAGAGGAUGAUCAGUCACACCGGAACUGAGACACGGUCCGGACUCCUACGGGAGGCAGCAGUGGGGAAUAGUUGGACGAAUGGGCGCGAAAGCCUGAUCCAGCAUGCCGCGUGUGUGAAGAGGCCUUGGUUGUAAGCUACUUAAGUUA
rnacentral:rRNA from 1 species